rnacentral:tRNA from 1 species
CAUGUUGUAGCUCAGCGGAUAGAGCGCCCGCCUGCUAAGCGGGAGGCCGCGGGUUCGAAUCCCGCCAACAUCU